GGUGGUCACAGUGAACUUGAACACCACAAAAACAACAUGUUCGUAAAACUGGCCGUAUUAGCUUGCUCUUUGGCAGUAGCCACAGCUGUCUGGAAUGGUCCCUUAGCCGGUGGCCAGCCAGCACAUCUCUACCCCGCAGGAGUCAGUCCACAAGCUUGCCCAAAUUUCCCCAACUGUGCUAACCCCGCCGUAGCUGCCAACCCACAAGCCCCAACUGCUCAACAAUGGGGAGCCCCACAACAACAAUGGAAUGCCCAACCUCAACCACAGUGGAACCAAUGGAACAACAACAACAACAACAACCAAUGGAACCAAGGACAAUACAACCCAUCUCCUGUUCCACAACAAUGGGGAAACGAUGCUACAUCUAGACUUAACAGCGGAGAAUACAUUGGCGAUGGAGAUUACCACGGUGAAGGUCUUGUUGAAGCUCGUGCUCCAGGUUAUGAAAACCAAAACUUGAUCGCCCAAUGGGACAACCCCAACCAAGGAGCCCCCAACCAAUGGAACAACGGCGCCAACCAGUGGAACGCUCCACCAAACGCUCACCAAGCCCACGGUGUAGGUCAAAUCCCAGCUGGAGUUGAUGCCCAAUCCUGCCCCAACUACCCAUUCUGUUCUUAAGCGAGCUAGACAAUCAGGCUGACAACAUGUUGCCAAUAUUUAUAUAGUUUAAUUUUGUAUCUCGACUUAAAAAAAAAUAGCUGUGCCGAUAUUUGCUGUGUAUAAGUGAUAGUUCGGAAAACGUCUUUUCUGGUCAUAAUCUUGCAACUGAGUAGAUGUAUAAUGUAAAAUGUAAUACAUUUGCACUAGAAUCGUUAAUUUUAUUAUUAGUUUCUAAUGAGUUGCAUUGUUAUGUAUUCGUCGUCCAGAAAUUCGUCGUCGUUAAUUUAAAUUGGUUAAAAAUAAGUUAUUUUUAUAAUUUGCUGCGUUGAAUAUUUUUAUAUUAAACGUAGAGAUACCACAAUUUUGUACCUCUUCAGAAAAUCUAGUACCUACUUUUGAUAACUGUCAAAAAAAUUAAAAGGUAUAAAUUUUUAAUAAAAUUUAUUUACCAAAAGA
rnacentral:misc_RNA from 1 species